GGGCGAAAGCCUGAUCCAGCAAUGCCGCGUGUGUGAAGAAGGCCUUCGGGUUGUAAAGCACUUUUGUCCGGAAAGAAAUGGCUCUGGUUAAUACCUGGAGUCGAUGACGGUACCGGAAGAAUAAGGACCGGCUAACUACGUGCCAGCAGCCGCGGUAAUACGUAGGGUCCAAGCGUUAAUCGGAAUUACUGGGCGUAAAGCGUGCGCAGGCGGUUGUGCAAGACCGAUGUGAAAUCCCCGGGCUUAACCUGGGAAUUGCAUUGGUGACUGCACGGCUAGAGUGUGUCAGAGGGGGGUAGAAUUCCACGUGUAGCAGUGAAAUGCGUAGAGAUGUGGAGGAAUACCGAUGGCGAAGGCAGCCCCCUGGGAUAACACUGACGCUCAUGCACGAAAGCGUGGGGAGCAAACAGGAUUAGAUACCCUGGUAGUCCACGCCCUAAACGAUGUCAACUAGUUGUUGGGGAUUCAUUUCCUU
rnacentral:rRNA from 1 species